GCAUUACUCAAAAAUUAAUAAAUUCCAUAUCUUUCAGGUGAUUAUUACUGCAAUUGUUAUCUUCUUUUUCCCAUUUUGUCCUCUCAGCAUUCCAUCAGUAAAGCGGCUCCAUCUUUUCCAAAAUUCAUUCGAGCUAUCCACGAGCAGGGCACUCUUCUGUGAUUCUUGGAAUUUGGCAAUGGAGUUUUCGACGAAUAGGGAGUCCGUCAUACAGUACUUUCUAGAAAAAUACUUUAACUUUUGUUGGGUAUUAAAGGUCUCAUAAUAGAUUCUAGAGCUUCUUGUCCUUGCAAACCUCGGGUAGGUUGUUCGGCGACAGGUGGGUGAGCUGAAAACUAAUUUUGUACCCUAAAGCCACUGUGUAAUGACCAUCCUUUUCACCUAUCCAGGCUUAGAAGGCAAGGAUUGCUUGAAGAAGUGAAGGAAAAGCAUGCAAAGUGGAGAAUUCAUGAAGAAAUAUAGUUUUGAGCAUUUUAGGGUCAUGCAUACACAUGAAUAUCAAGUUGUGCGUACGCAUGUCUUAUGCGUAUGCAUGUUUUAGAGAUUCGCGAAGUCAUGUGUAUGCAUGCCUCAUGCGUAUGCACGACUGCCAGCACGUGAGUUCACUUAAGUGAACACAUGGGUUGCGAUUUCAGGCCAAUUUUGGGCCCAAUCCAACUCAUUUUUAAAGUAUUAUUUCAAGCCAAACUCAAAGAAAAUCAAAGGAG